CUUGGUCAUUUAGAGGAAGUAAAAGUCGUAACAAGGUUUCCGUAGGUGAACCUGCGGAAGGAUCAUUACAGUAGUCGCCCGGGUUGCCGCAAGGCCUCCCGGGUAACCUACCACCCUUUGUUUAUUACACUUUGUUGCUUUGGCAGGCCUGCCCUCGGGCUGCUGGCUCCGGCCGGCGAGCGCUUGCCAGAGGACCUAAACUCUGUUUGUCUAUACUGUCUGAGUACUAUAUAAUAGUUAAAACUUUCAACAACGGAUCUCUUGGUUCUGGCAUCGAUGAAGAACGCAGCGAAAUGCGAUAAGUAAUGUGAAUUGCAGAAUUCAGUGAAUCAUCGAAUCUUUGAACGCACAUUGCGCCCCCUGGUAUUCCGGGGGGCAUGCCUGUCCGAGCGUCAUUACAACCCUCAAGCUCAGCUUGGUAUUGGGCCCCGCCGACCCGGCGGGCCCUAAAGUCAGUGGCGGUGCCGUCCGGCUCCGAGCGUAGUAAUUCUUCUCGCUCUGGAGGUCCGGUCGUGUGCUCGCCAGCAACCCCCAAUUUUUUUCAGGUUGACCUCGGAUCAGGUAGGGAUACCCGCUGAACUUAAGCAUAUCAAUAAGCGGAGGA
rnacentral:rRNA from 1 species